rnacentral:rRNA from 1 species
CCCUUAGACGUUCUGGGCCACACGCGCGCUACACUGACGAAGGCAACGAGCUUUCCUUUACCGAAAGGUACGGGUAAUCUUUUGAAACUUCGUCGUGCUGGGGAUAGAUCCUUGCAAUUUUUGAUCUUAAACGAGGAAUUCCUAGUAAGCGCAAGUCAUCAACUUGCGUUGAUUACGUCCCUGCCCUUUGUACACACCGCCCGUCGCUACUACCGAUUGAAUGGUUUAGUGAGGCCUUCGGAUCCGCGACUCGUUUUGUGGAGAAGUUGGACAAACUCAGUCAUUUAGAGGAAGUAAAAGUCGUAACA